rnacentral:snRNA from 1 species
GGAUGUGAGGGCGAUCUGGCUGCGACAUCUGUCACCCCAUUGAUCGCCAGGGUUGAUUCGGCUGAUCUGGCUGGCUAGGCGGGUGUCCCCUUCCUCCCUCACCGCUCCAUGUGCGUCCCUCCCGAAGCUGCGCGCUCGGUCGAAGAGGACGACCAUCCCCGCUAGAGGAGGACCGGUCUUCGGUCAAGGGUAUACGAGUAGCUGCGCUCCCCUGCUAGAACCUCCAAACAAGCUCUCAAGGAAACAAUCUUUAGAAUACCCUGAAAAAGAAAUAACCUCAGAGAGAAACCAGAAGGAAGCUUUCUUAGAAACUGCUCUCACGU